CACAAGCGGUGGAGCAUGUGGUUUAAUCGAAGCAACGCGAAGAACCUUACCAGGCCUUGACAUCCCGAUGCUAUUUCUAGAGAUAGAAAGUUACUUCGGUACAUCGGUGACAGGUGGUGCAUGGUUGUCGUCAGCUCGUGUCGUGAGAUGUUGGGUUAAGUCCCGCAACGAGCGCAACCCCUAUUGUUAGUUGCCAUCAUUCAGUUGGGCACUCUAGCGAGACUGCCGGUAAUAAACCGGAGGAAGGUGGGAUGACGUCAAAUCAUCAUGCCCCUUAUGACCUGGGCUACACACGUGCUACAAUGGUUGGUACAACGAGUUGCGAGUCGGUGACGGCGAGCUAAUCUCUUAAAGCCAAUCUCAGUUCGGAUUGUAGGCUGCAACUCGCCUACAUGAAAUCGGAAUCGCUAGUAAUCGCGGAUCAGCACGCCGCGGUGAAUACGUUCCCGGGCCUU
rnacentral:rRNA from 1 species